GCUACUGUGGCUCAGUCGGUAGAGCAGCUGAUUCGUAAUCAGCAGGUCAGGGGUUCGAGCCCCCUCAGUAGCUCCA
rnacentral:tRNA from 1 species